AAGUCGUAACAAGGUAACCGUAGGUGAACCUGCGGUUGGAUCAUUACCAAAUAUCCAACGGGGGCUUCUUUUAGCCCCCUACCCCACCUCUUGUGCAACGUAACGUAUUUGGCGGGCCUACAACCAUGAUGCACUUCAUCGGCCCUUGUAGCAGCUGUUUCACGACUGCUGUCACAGGGUGAGUCGUUGGGUCAUUGUAGUCGUAGCUUGCGAUGCAUCAUGCAUCGACCGCCAACAUAAACACCCUUGUAUUCCUACAACCCAACCCCCUGACUUUUAUAGGCCGCUUGUGCGUUUGCACGAGGGGUAAAUAAUUGAAAAACAACUUUUGACAACGGAUCUCUUGGCUCUC
rnacentral:misc_RNA from 1 species